rnacentral:rRNA from 1 species
UACGGAGGGUGCAAGCGUUAUCCGGAUUCACUGGGUUUAAAGGGUGCGUAGGAGGGCAGGUAAGUCAGUGGUGAAAUCUUCGAGCUUAACUCGGAAACUGCCAUUGAUACUAUCAGUCUUGAAUAUUGUGGAGGUUAGCGGAAUAUGUCAUGUAGCGGUGAAAUGCUUAGAUAUGACAUAGAACACCAAUUGCGAAGGCAGCUGGCUACACAUAUAUUGACACUGAGGCACGAAAGCGUGGGGAUCAAACAGG